CUUAGCUCAGUUGGUUAGAGCGGACGGCUCAUAACCGUCCGGUCGUAGGUUCGAGUCCUAAG
rnacentral:tRNA from 1 species